rnacentral:rRNA from 1 species
UGGGGAAUAUUGGNCAAUGGACCAAAAGUCUGAUCCAGCAAUUCUGUGUGCACGAUGACGUUUUUCGGAAUGUAAAGUGCUUUCAGUUGGGAAGAAAAAAAUGACGGUACCAACAGAAGAAGUGACGGCUAAAUACGUGCCAGCAGCCGCGGUAAUACGUAUGUCACAAGCGUUAUCCGGAUUUAUUGGGCGUAAAGCGCGUCUAGGUGGUUAUGUAAGUCUGAUGUGAAAAUGCAGGGCUCAACUCUGUAUUGCGUUGGAAACUGUAUGACUAGAGUACUGGAGAGGUAAGCGGAACUACAAGUGUAGAGGUGAAAUUCGUAGAUAUUUGUAGGAAUGCCGAUGGGGAAGCCAGCUUACUGGACAGAUACUGACGCUAAAGCGCGAAAGCGUGGGUAGCAAACAGGAUUAGAUACCCUGGUAGUCCACGCCGUAAACGAUGAUUACUAGGUGUUGGGGGUCGAACCUCAGCGCCCAAGCUAACGCGAUAAGUAAUCCGCCUGGGGAGUACGUACGCAAGUAUG